rnacentral:rRNA from 2 species
UGCAGUCGACGACUCUGGUAUUGAUUGGUGCUUGCAUCAUGAUUUACAUUUGAGUGAGUGGCGAACUGGUGAGUAACACGUGGGAAACCUGCCCAGAAGCGGGGGAUAACACCUGGAAACAGAUGCUAAUACCGCAUAACAACUUGGACCGCAUGGUCCGAGUUUGAAAGAUGGCUUCGGCUAUCACUUUUGGAUGGUCCCGCGGCGUAUUAGCUAGAUGGUGGGGUAACGGCUCACCAUGGCAAUGAUACGUAGCCGACCUGAGAGGGUAAUCGGCCACAUUGGGACUGAGACACGGCCCAAACUCCUACGGGAGGCAGCAGUAGGGAAUCUUCCACAAUGGACGAAAGUCUGAUGGAGCAACGCCGCGUGAGUGAAGAAGGGUUUCGGCUCGUAAAACUCUGUUGUUAAAGAAGAACAUAUCUGAGAGUAACUGUUCAGGUAUUGACGGUAUUUAACCAGAAAGCCACGGCUAACUACGUGCCAGCAGCCGCGGUAAUACGUAGGUGGCAAGCGUUGUCCGGAUUUAUUGGGCGUAAAGCGAGCGCAGGCGGUUUUUUAAGUCUGAUGUGAAAGCCUUCGGCUCAACCGAAGAAGUGCAUCGGAAACUGGGAAACUUGAGUGCAGAAGAGGACAGUGGAACUCCAUGUGUAGCGGUGAAAUGCGUAGAUAUAUGGAAGAACACCAGUGGCGAAAGGCGGCUGUCUGGUCUGUAACUGACGCUGAGGCUCGAAAGUAUGGGUAGCAAACAGGAUUAGAUACCCUGGUAGUCCAUACCGUAACGAUGAUGCUAAGUGUUGAGGGUUUCCGCCCUUCAGUGCUGCAGCUACGCAUUAGCAU